UACGAAGGGGGCUAGCGUUGUUCGGAAUUACUGGGCGUAAAGCGUAUGCAGGCGGAUCGUUAAGUCGGGGGUGAAAUCCCGAGGCUCAACCUCGGAACUGCCUUCGAUACUGGCGAUCUUGAGUCCGGGAGAGGUGAGUGGAACUCCGAGUGUAGAGGUGAAAUUCGUAGAUAGUCGGAAGAACACCAGUGGCGAAGGCGGCUCACUGGCCCGGUACUGACGCUGAGAUACGAAAGCGUGGGGAGCAAACAGG
rnacentral:rRNA from 1 species